GGGAGUGGCAAGCGUUAUCCGGAAUUAUUGGGCGUAAAGCGUCCGCAGGCGGCCCUUCAAGUCUGCUGUUAAAAAGUGGAGCUUAACUCCAUCAUGGCAGUGGAAACUGUUGGGCUUGAGUAUGGUAGGGGCAGAGGGAAUUCCCGGUGUAGCGGUGAAAUGCGUAGAUAUCGGGAAGAACACCAGUGGCGAAGGCGCUCUGCUGGGCCAUUACUGACGCUCAUGGACGAAAGCCAGGGGAGCGAAAGGGAUUAGAUACCCCUGUAGUCCUGGCCGUAAACGAUGAACACUAGGUGUCGGGGGAAUCGACCCCUUCGGUGUCGUAGCUAACGCGUUAAGUGUUCCGCCUGGGGAGUACGCACGCAAGUGUGAAACUCAAAGGAAUUGACGGGGGCCCGCACAAGCGGUGGAGUAUGUGGUUUAAUUCGAUGCAACGCGAAGAACCUUACCAGGGUUUGACAUCCUGCGAACCUCUUAGAAAUUUGAGGGUGCCUUCGGGAAUGCAGUGACAGGUGGUGCAUGGCUGUCGUCAGCUCGUGUCGUGAGAUGUUGGGUUAAGUCCCGCAACGAGCGCAACCCACGUUUUUAGUUGCCAGCAUUUAGUUGGGCACUCUAGAAAGACCGCCGGUGAUAAACCGGAGGAAGGUGUGGAUGACGUCAAGUCAUCAUGCCCCUUACACCCUGGGCUACACACGUACUACAAUGCUACGGACAAAGGGCAGCAAACUCGCGAGAGCUAGCAAAUCCCAUAAACCGUAGCUCAGUUCAGAUCGUAGCCUGCCACUCGCCUACGUGAAGUAGGAAUCGCUAGUAAUCGCAGGUCAGCAUACUGCGGUGAAUACGUUCCCGGGCCUU
rnacentral:rRNA from 1 species